rnacentral:rRNA from 1 species
GAUGAACGCUGGCGGCGUGCCUAAUACAUGCAAGUCGAGCGAACAGACGAGGAGCUUGCUCCUCUGACGUUAGCGGCGGACGGGUGAGUAACACGUGGAUAACCUACCUAUAAGACUGGGAUAACUUCGGGAAACCGGAGCUAAUACCGGAUAAUAUAUUGAACCGCAUGGUUCAAUAGUGAAAGACGGCUUUGCUGUCACUUAUAGAUGGAUCCGCGCCGCAUUAGCUAGUUGGUAAGGUAACGGCUUACCAAGGCGACGAUGCGUAGCCGACCUGGGAGGGUGGUCGGCCCACCCGGGACUGGGACACGGCCCAGGCCCCCAAGGGAGGGAGGAAGAGGGGAUCUUUCGCAAUUGACCGAAGGCCUGACGAACCACCCCGGGGGGGGGAAGGAGGGUUUCGGAUCCUAAAACUCCGUUUAUAGGGAAAAAACAGUGUGAUAGGAAAAUACUCACGCCUUGACGGUACCUAAUCAGAAAGCACCGGCUAACUACGUG